rnacentral:rRNA from 1 species
GGCGCAGGCGGAAGCGUUAGCCAGAUGUGAAAUCCCGGGGCUUAACCUCGGAACAGCAUUUGGAACUGCGUUUCUAAGAGGGUAGGCGGAGAAAACGGAAUUCCACAUGUAGCGGUGAAAUGCGUAGAUAUGUGGAAGAACACCGGUGGCGAAGGCGGUUUUCUAGCUUAUACCUGACGCUGAGGCCCGAAAGCUAGGGGAGCAAACA